rnacentral:rRNA from 1 species
UACGGGGGGAGCAAGCGUUGUUCGGAUUUACUGGGCUUAAAGCGUGUGUAGGCGGAUCGUUAAGUACCUUGUGAAAUCCCACGGCUUAACCGUGGAACUGCUCGGUAUACUGGCGAUCUUGAGCCACCUAGGGGCGAGCGGAACAAGCGGUGGAGCGGUGAAAUGCGUAGAUAUCGUAAGGAAGACCAGUGGCGAAGGCGGGUCUCUGGACAGUUCCUGACGCUGAGGCACGAAGGCCAGGGGAGCAAACGGG